rnacentral:rRNA from 1 species
UACGAAGGGGCUAGCGUUGCUCGGAAUUACUGGGCGUAAAGGGCGCGUAGGCGGACAUUUAAGUUAGAGGUGAAAGCCCAGGGCUCAACCCUGGAAUAGCCUUUAAUACUGGAUGUCUUGAGUUCGGGAGAGGUGAGUGGAACUCCGAGUGUAGAGGUGAAAUUCGUAGAUAAUUCGGAAGAACACCAGUGGCGAAGGCGACUCACUGGCCCGAUACUGACGCUGAGGCGACGAAAGGCGUGGGGAGCAAACAGG